UACAGAGGGUGCAAGCGUUGCUCGGAUUUACUGGGCGUAAAGCGUACGCAGACGGUGAGAUAGGUCGGAUGUGAAAGCCCCGGGCUCAACCCUGGAACUGCAUCCGAAACCAUCUCGCUAGAGUAUGAGAGAGGGAAGCAGAAUUCCUGGUGUAGAGGUGAAAUUCGUAGAUAUCAGGAGGAAUACCUGCGGCGAAGGCGGCUUCCUGGCUCAUUACUGACGUUCAGGUACGAAAGCGUGGGGAGCAAACAGG
rnacentral:rRNA from 1 species